rnacentral:rRNA from 1 species
ACGUACACUCCUACGGGAGGCAGCAGUGGGGAAUUUUGGACAAUGGGCGAAAGCCUGAUCCAGCCAUGCCGCGUGCAGGAUGAAGGCCUUCGGGUUGUAAACUGCUUUUGUACGGAACGAAACGGCCUUUUCUAAUAAAGAGGGCUAAUGACGGUACCGUAAGAAUAAGCACCGGCUAACUACGUGCCAGCAGCCGCGGUAAUACGUAGGGUGCAAGCGUUAAUCGGAAUUACUGGGCGUAAAGCGUGCGCAGGCGGUUAUGUAAGACAGUUGUGAAAUCCCCGGGCUCAACCUGGGAACUGCAUCUGUGACUGCAUAGCUAGAGUACGGUAGAGGGGGAUGGAAUUCCGCGUGUAGCAGUGAAAUGCGUAGAUAUGCGGAGGAACACCGAUGGCGAAGGCAAUCCCCUGGACCUGUACUGACGCUCAUGCACGAAAGCGUGGGGAGCAAACAGGAUUAGAUACCCUUGUAGUCC